UUCCCAGACUCCUACGGGAGGCAGCAGUGAGGAAUAUUGGUCAAUGGGCGGGAGCCUGAACCAGCCAAGUCGCGUGAGGGAUGACGGCCCUACGGGUUGUAAACCUCUUUUGUCGGGGAGCAAAUUCCGCCACGUGUGGCGGAGUCGAGAGUACCCGAAGAAAAAGCAUCGGCUAACUCCGUGCCAGCAGCCGCGGUAAUACGGAGGAUCCGAGCGUUAUCCGGAUUUAUUGGGUUUAAAGGGUGCGUAGGCGGUUUGAUAAGUUAGAGGUGAAAUGUCGGGGCUCAACCCCGAAACUGCCUCUAAUACUGUUGGACUAGAGAAUAGUUGCGGUAGGCGGAAUGUAUGGUGUAGCGGUGAAAUGCUUAGAGAUCAUACAGAACACCGAUUGCGAAGGCAGCUUACCAAACUAUAUCUGACGUUGAGGCACGAAAGCGUGGGUAGCAAACAGGAUUAGAUACCCUAGUA
rnacentral:rRNA from 1 species